ACAAACGUUAUUUUGUCUUGAGAAUUUUGAUAAUACUUGCUAUUGCAAAUCUGUUUUUCAGGAUUCUUGGAAGAAGACCGGUUUUCUUUUCGGACAUUAAAGUUUUAUUGUCUAAAUUUCCCCGGUCAUCUUGCAUGUCCGACGGUUAGAUAAUAAGCUUUCUUGAAUGAAAGAAUUAUCACGGUGAAUUGCCGAUUCUCGUUGA